AGCGAACGCUGGCGGCAGGCCUAACACAUGCAAGUCGAACGGAUCCUUCGGGAUUAGUGGCGGACGGGUGAGUAACACGUGGGAACGUGCCCUUUGGUUCGGAACAACUCAGGGAAACUUGAGCUAAUACCGGAUGUGCCCUUCGGGGGAAAGAUUUAUCGCCAUUGGAGCGGCCCGCGUCUGAUUAGCUAGUUGGUGAGGUAACGGCCCACCAAGGCGACGAUCAGUAGCUGGUCUGAGAGGAUGAUCAGCCACAUUGGGACUGAGACACGGCCCAGACUCCUACGGGAGGCAGCAGUGGGGAAUCUUGCGCAAUGGGCGAAAGCCUGACGCAGCCAUGCCGCGUGAAUGAUGAAGGUCUUAGGAUUGUAAAAUUCUUUCAGCGGGGACGAUAAUGACGGUACCCGCAGAAGAAGCUCCGGCUAACUUCGUG
rnacentral:rRNA from 1 species